AAGUCACGGGGGCCGCAAGGCAACCGGCGAACGGCUUAGUAACACGUGGGUACAUACCCCAAACUGGAGCAUAGCUCGUCGAAAGACGGGGUAAUUCUCCAUAAUCCCGCAAGGGUAAAGGCGCAAGCCGAUUUGGGAAUGGCCUACGGCCUAUCAGAUUGUUGGUGAGGUAAAGGCUCACCAAGUCUAUGACGGGUAGGGGGCGUGAGAGCGCGACCCCCAAGAAUGGCACUGCGACACGGGCCAUACUCCUACGGGAGGCUGCAGUCGAGAAUCUUCCGCAAUGGACGAAAGUCUGACGGAGCGACGUUACGUGAAUGAUGACGCCCUUAGGGGUGUAAAGUUCUUUUAUCUGGGAGGAAGCCGCAAGGCAGACAGUACCAGAUGAAUAAGGGGAUCCUAAUUCUGUGCCAGCAGGAGCGGUAAUACAGAAUCCUCAAGCGUUACCCGGAUUUAUUGGGCGUAAAGGGUCCGUAGGUGGUAUAGUAAGUUGAAAGUUAAAACUCAUCGGCUUAACCUUUGAGGUGCUUUCAAUACUGCUACACUAGAGGAUGUUAGGGGUGAACGGAACCGACGGAGUAGGGGUGAAAUCCGUUGAUAUCGUCGGGAACACCAAAAGCGAAGGCAGUUCACUAGGACAAUCCUGACACUGAGGGACGAAAGCGUGGGGAGCAAAAAGGAUUAGAUACCCUUGUAGUCCACGCUGUAAACGAUGGAUACUGGCUAUAUGAAGUGUCGACCCUUCAUGUGGCGAAGCUAACGCGUUAAGUAUCCCGCCUGGGAAGUACGGUCGCAAGACUAAAACUCAAAGGAAUAGACGGGGACUCACACAAGCGGUGGACCAUGUGGCUUAAUUCGACAACAAGCGAA
rnacentral:rRNA from 1 species